GUUGGGUAGGGGAGCGUUCUGUAAGCCUGUGAAGGUGUGCUGUGAGGCAUGCUGGAGGUAUCAGAAGUGCGAAUGCUGACAUAAGUAACGAUAAAGCGGGUGAAAAGCCCGCUCGCCGGAAGACCAAGGGUUCCUGUCCAACGUUAAUCGGGGCAGGGUGAGUCGACCCCUAAGGCGAGGCCGAAAGGCGUAGUCGAUGGGAAACAGGUUAAUAUUCCUGUACUUGGUGUUACUGCGAAGGGGGGACGGAGAAGGCUAUGUUGGCCGGGCGACGGUUGUCCCGGUUUAAGCGUGUAGGCUGGUUUUCCAGGCAAAUCCGGAAAAUCAAGGCUGAGGCGUGAUGACGAGGCACUACGGUGCUGAAGCAACAAAUGCCCUGCUUCCAGGAAAAGCCUCUAAGCAUCAGGUAACAUCAAAUCGUACCCCAAACCGACACAGGUGGUCAGGUAGAGAAUACCAAGGCGCUUGAGAGAACUCGGGUGAAGGAACUAGGCAAAAUGGUGCCGUAACUUCGGGAGAAGGCAC
rnacentral:rRNA from 1 species